rnacentral:lncRNA from 1 species
CUGGCCAGGCUGGUCUCGAACUCCUGACCCCAGGAGAUCUGCCUGCCUCGGCCUCCCAAAGUGCUGGGAUUACAACACUUUUUUUUUUUUUUUUUUUUUUUUUUGAGACGGAGUCUCACUCUGUCGCCUAGGCUACAGUGCAGUCGCGCGAUCUUGGCUCACUGCAACCUGCUCCUCCCGGCUUCAAGCGAUUCUCCUUGAAUCGCUUCCCAAGUAGCUGGGAUUACAGGCGCCUGCCACCAUGUCUGCUAAUUUUUGUAUUUUUAGUAGAGACUAAAACCAACAUGAUUGGUCAGGCUGAUAUUGAAUUCCUGACCUCAAGUGGUCUGCCCGCCUCAGCCUCCCAAAAGGAAUGGAAUCUUAAAAAAAAAAAAAACAGUGAUGGGAACAGGAUCUCACUAUGUUGCCCAGGCUGGUCUUGAACUCCUCCUGACUGAACCUCCCAAACUGCUGGGAUUACAGGUAUGAGCCACCAUGCCUGGCCAAAAGUCCCUCAACUUUCUGUUUUAAAAAUUGCCACCAGACUUUUCUGCAAUGUCACCUGAAGGGUUCCUGGUCUCACACAAUGCCCACCCCUAAAACACAGCAGCCUAGGCCACCACGUUCUGCCAGGCGAGGUGUGUGGUAGGAAGAGGGCAGGCAGCUCUGGCCUCAGGCACAAAGGGCUGAGUCCUGGGUCCUGGGGACAGGCACUGGCAAUUGAAUCUGGACACUGAGCACUGGGUCCUAACACAAGAAAUCAUUUCCUGGCUCAGGGCAGUGAUCUCUGGGUCCUAAAAACUAGGACCAGAGCAGAGACCAUAGGUCCCUUAUCUCUGGGCGGAGGGUGCUGGGCUAAGUGGCAGUCACCCAAGGCAGGGCCAGGGGUAAGGAGAUGCCCAGCCCCCAGUUGUUUUGUAACAGCUGCUGGACUGGGCUGGAGGGGAAAUUUAAGGAACCAGGGGGUGAGGUAAGGAGGAAGAGGUCAGUGGGCAGGGCAAGGCCACUCGGGCAUGCUGGAUUGGUCCCAGGCCCUGGAGGGCGAGAGAAAGACAGUGGCUGGAUCUCUAGGGCUCUCAUUGGCAGACACUGGGGCCCCAGGAACUAGGGCAAGAAGAGUGGUGAGGAUAGCAGGGAGUGUGUGCUACCCCCUACCCCCAACCCCCCUCUUUGUACCCUCCCCCCUUUGUCAACCUCCUGGCUCCGCUCCCAGGCCGAGGCAGCUGGAGUGAUUAGUGUGGGUGAAGGAGUACAAAUGCCAAAGGCUUGUCUCACGUCUCAGAACACAGGGAUCCAGCCAGAGUGGAUGGCACAACUGAGUGAGAAAUGGAGACCGAGAGAUAAACAGAAAUAAACAGGGACAACACCAAAGAGAUAGAGGAGAGAAGCAGGGCGGGAGACAAAAGAAGAGACCAAAGGCCCACACAGAGCAAGGGGGUUGUGGGGAGGGAGGGUUCAGUAGCUACAGGGCAGGCUGACCUUUUCCUGUCUCUUCUCUGACCCCGUCCUGUCUGAGUUCCCCUCCGCUGUGUCCCUAUCCCAGGCUUUCUCAACCUCAGCACUGUUGACAUUUGGGGCAGGAUAAUCUUGGAUGGUGGGGGUGGGUGGGUGGGUGGGGGGUGUUCUGUGCCCUGUAGGAUGUUUAGCAGCCUCCUUGGCCCUUAUCCACCACAUGCCAUUGGCACUCCCCCAACUCCUCUGCUCUUGUGACAAUCCAAACUGCCUCCAGAUAUUGCCGGAUGUUUCCUGGGAAGGGAUUGCUCCUGACUGAGAACUGUCCCCAGGUAGGUUCAUGUUCUUGAGAAGAGGCUACCCCAGGGUGUCUGGCUGGUUCUCCCUUCGGCCCGUGUGCACAGGGCCCCCUGGCUCUAGCAUGGCUUAAGUUGCCCUAAGUCAGAAGCCGGGGAAACUAGGAGAGCCACUGAGACUGAAGAGCAGUCUAGGUACAGCAGUAACGAAGUCCCUGCCCUCAUGGAGCUUCUGUUCUUAUUCCACCCAAAAGGCAUCCCAGGUGUGUUUUGGGAUGUGCUAGGGGUGUUUCAUGAGUGGGUGUGCACUCUCGUCUCUAAGGGAGGAAGAAGAGAUGGGCCCCCAAGUAUGUCUGGACAAGAUACAGGUGGAGUCUUGUUCUGUUUCCCAGGCUGGAGUGCAGUGGUGCUGAGGCAGGAGAAUAGGGUCUAGAGGCAGGAAACCUAAGGCUGAUUCACACUGACUUCCUAGAGCUAAAUCAAAUGGAAACACUUCAGCUAUGACAGGAAAUAUCCUUUCCAUUUACAUAGGGGUACACCAAGUAACCAAUGGAAACCUCUAGAGAGUAUUGAAACCCCAGAAAAUUCUGUAAUAGGGCUCUUCAGCCCCUUUGUCAGCCUGCCCCCACACUGUGGAGUGUACUUUCAUUUUCAAUAAAUCUCUUUUUUUGUUGCUUCAUCCUUUCCUUGCUUUGUGUGUUUUAUCCAAUUCUUUGUUCAAGACGCCAAGAACCUAGACACCUCCAACCGGUAACAGUGCGAUUUGGGCUCACUGCAA